UCGCCGUUGGUGAACCAGCGGAGGGAUCAUUACCGAGUUUACAACUCCCAAACCCCCGUGAACAUACCAUUUGUUGCCUCGGCGGUGCCUGCUUCGGCAGCCCGCCAGAGGACCCAAACCCUUGAUUUUAUACAGUAUCUUCUGAGUAAAUGAUUAAAUAAAUCAAAACUUUCAACAACGGAUCUCUUGGUUCUG
rnacentral:misc_RNA from 1 species